rnacentral:snRNA from 1 species
GUGCUCACUUCAGCAGCACCGAUACUGAAAUUGGAGUAAUGGAGAAGAUUAGCAUAGCCCUAUACAAGGAUGACACAAUUUGUAAAGCUUUCCAUGUUUUC